rnacentral:rRNA from 1 species
UAGUGGAAGCGUCUGGAAAGUCGCGCGAUACAGGGUGACAGCCCCGUACACAAAAGCGCAUGUGCUGUGAGCUCGAUGAGUAGGGCGGGACACGUGGUAUCCUGUCUGAAUAUGGGGGGACCAUCCUCCAAGGCUAAAUACUCCUGACUGACCGAUAGUGAACCAGUACCGUGAGGGAAAGGCGAAAAGAACCCCGGCGAGGGGAGUGAAAAAGAACCUGAAACCGUGUACGUACAAGCAGUGGGAGCCCCACCACCAAAGCAUUCUCUGGUGUUGAAGGCCCUGCAAAGCAGCAUCGCGGUGGCGGAGCGUCGUUUGCGACGCCCAACACAAAAAACAAGCGGUGAGUGCUUUGGGGUGGGGUGACUGCGUACCU